rnacentral:rRNA from 1 species
AUUGAACGCUGGCGGCAUGCCUUACACAUGCAAGUCGAACGGCAGCACGGGAGCAAUCCUGGUGGCGAGUGGCGAACGGGUGAGUAAUAUAUCGGAACGUGCCCAGUAGUGGGGGAUAACUGCUCGAAAGAGCAGCUAAUACCGCAUACGACCUGAGGGUGAAAGGGGGGGAUCGCAAGACCUCUCGCUAUUGGAGCGGCCGAUAUCAGAUUAGCUAGUUGGUGGGGUAAGGGCCUACCAAGGCAACGAUCUGUAGUUGGUCUGAGAGGACGACCAGCCACACUGGGACUGAGACACGGCCCAGACUCCUACGGGAGGCAGCAGUUGGGAAUUUUGGACAAUGGGCGCAAGCCUGAUCCAGCAAUGCCGCGUGCAGGAAGAAGGCCUUCGGGUUGUAAACUGCUUUUGUCAGGGAAGAAAUCCUCUAGGUUAAUACCCUUGGGGGGAUGACGGUACCUGAAGAAUAAGCACCGGCUAACUACGUGCCAGCCGCCGCCGUAAUAC